rnacentral:rRNA from 1 species
AGGACGAACGCUGGCGGCGUGCUUAACACAUGCAAGUCGAGCGGUAAGGCCUUUCGGGGUACACGAGCGGCGAACGGGUGAGUAACACGUGGGUGAUCUGCCCUGCACUUCGGGAUAAGCCUGGGAAACUGGGUCUAAUACCGGAUAUGACCUCAGGUUGCAUGACUUGGGGUGGAAAGAUUUAUCGGUGCAGGAUGGGCCCGCGGCCUAUCAGCUUGUUGGUGGGGCAAUGGCCUACCAAGGCGACGACGGGUAGCCGACCUGAGAGGGUGACCGGCCACACUGGGACUGAGACACGGCCCAGACUCCUACGGGAGGCAGCAGUGGGGAAUAUUGCACAAUGGGCAAAGCCUGAUGCAGCGACGCCGCGUGAGGAUGACGGCCUUCGGGUUGUAAACCUCUUUCAGCAGGACGAAGCGCAAGUGACGGUACCUGCAGAAGAAGCACCGGCAACUACGUGCCAGCAGCCGC